CUGCUAUGAUGCAGUCGAACGAACUCUGGUAUUGAUUGGUGCUUGCAUCAUGAUUUACAUUUGAGUGAGUGGCGAACUGGUGAGUAACACGUGGGAAACCUGCCCAGAAGCGGGGGAUAACACCUGGAAACAGAUGCUAAUACCGCAUAACAACUUGGACCGCAUGGUCCGAGUUUGAAAGAUGGCUUCGGCUAUCACUUUUGGAUGGUCCCGCGGCGUAUUAGCUAGAUGGUGGGGUAACGGCUCACCAUGGCAAUGAUACGUAGCCGACCUGAGAGGGUAAUCGGCCACAUUGGGACUGAGACACGGCCCAAACUCCUACGGGAGGCAGCAGUAGGGAAUCUUCCACAAUGGACGAAAGUCUGAUGGAGCAACGCCGCGUGAGUGAAGAAGGGUUUCGGCUCGUAAAACUCUGUUGUUAAAGAAGAACAUAUCUGAGAGUAACUGUUCAGGUAUUGACGGUAUUUAACCAGAAAGCCACGGCUAACUACGUGCCAGCAGCCGCGGUAAUACGUAGGUGGCAAGCGUUGUCCGGAUUUAUUGGGCGUAAAGCGAGCGCAGGCGGUUUUUUAAGUCUGAUGUGAAAGCCUUCGGCUCAACCGAAGAAGUGCAUCGGAAACUGGGAAACUUGAGUGCAGAAGAGGACAGUGGAACUCCAUGUGUAGCGGUGAAAUGCGUAGAUAUAUGGAAGAACACCAGUGGCGAAGGCGGCUGUCUGGUCUGUAACUGACGCUGAGGCUCGAAAGUAUGGGUAGCAAACAGGAUUAGAUACCCUGGUAGUCCAUACCGUAAACGAUGAAUGCUAAGUGUUGGAGGGUUUCCGCCCUUCAGUGCUGCAGCUAACGCAUUAAGCAUUCC
rnacentral:rRNA from 2 species